AGGAGAAGAGCUCUUUCCUGGGGAGUUAAAGGGAAAGUCCAGCACCCCUUAGGCUCUGUCCUCUGGAAGAAGCUUUCUGCAGAAAUAAUCCAGCAGACACAAGACAACGGAGAUGGGUAUUGCUCUGUUGCUCUGGCUGGUCUCAAACUCCUGGCCUCAAGCAAUCCUCCCACCUCACCUUCCCAAAGCACUGGGGUUACAGCAGGGGUCCCCAACCCCUGGGCUAAGGACUGGUACCAGUCUGUGGCCUGUUAAGAACCAGGUCGCACAGCAGCAGGACCACACUGGCCCGCCACUCCCCCAUCCUGUGCCUUUAAAAACCCGAGGCCCUAGCGGGCAGACACACAAGCUGCUGGACGUCUUGACGUACACAUCCGUGGAAGAAGAUAACAAGUGGCUGGACAGCGAGAGGACGUCGAGGGAGCACGCUCGCGGAAGAGCACACUGGCAUGCGGGCGGGUCGUUGACCAGUGAAACUAGGCAGAGUUUGGCCUGGGCAGUCAGAGGAGAGCUGGGGCCGCCUAGCGACCCAACUCCAGAGAAAGACCAUCUCCCUUCUGGCUCCCCCAUCUACUGAGGGAUACUUCCACUCAAUAAAACUUCAUACUCAUUCUCCAA